GGAGCCGGGUGCGCGCAGGUCCACUGCAAACAUGCCAUAGGUUCGCAGAGGCGCCAGCUCACCCGCGCUGUCCAGGAACCGCAGGUCGCUGGACGCCGCGGACGCCGACGCCAGGUCACGAGGGUCCACGAAAGUGACACGAGCCUCCACGGGCCCCGUGUAGGGACGGCCGUCAGGGUGGUGGAAGGUCCCGGGCGGCAGGACUAGCUCGCCUAGCGCUGGCGCCUCCUCUGUGCUGCCCAGCGGGAUUUCACCGCCCCGCUCCGCGUCCAACAGCACUGCGGCCGCCUUGCGCAGCGCGCGGAUCUCGUGGUACACACCGGCUCCGCGAGGGUCAAAAGGCAGCACGCGGACGCUGUCUACGAAGUCUCCACUCGGGUCCACGAAAGUCACCACGAGGCGCUCGGUGGCUGGCGGCACCUCGAUGGUGAAGUCGCCCUGGUAGGAGGUGAAGCCGAUGGGUGCGCGGCCCAGCAGUAUCCUGGCGAAACGCAGGGGCUCCCCGGAAUCCGCAGCCACCACGCGGCCCCGUACCAGUCCCCGACGGGGCAGGCACUUGCGACAGCCACACUCGGCCACCACCUUCACCGGGAGCACGUAGCCGGAGCAGCGGAUGUCCCUGCUCUCCAGGCGCAGCACUGAGCAGCAUCGAGAGCCCGCGUCCCCACAGCGAGGGCCUGAGCCCACAGGGCCCGGACAGCGCGUGUCCGCGCACAGACCCACGUCUAGGUACGUGGGGCCGCCUCCGGGUUGGCCGCAAUCGUCCGGAAGCUUGAUCAGGUGUUCCUGAGGUCGGGGGUCACAGGCCUGCUGGCCGGGAGCUGGGGAUUCCACACAACCAGGUCAUGGGAGGAAGGCUGAGGUGGGGAACUUGGGCUGGGCUCGGGUGGGGCAGGACUGGACCACACUCACCGAGUAUCGUGAGGAGGGCUGCGCGGGAUCGCACCGUGCCCGCCUCGUUCCAGGCCUUGCAGUGGUACUCCCCUGCCUGCGCCUGGUGAAGCCCCUGGAGCUCUAGGUGUGGCCCAGACCCCUGCUGGCGUCGGUCCAGGAGAGUCCCGUUGUGGAACCUGAAGAAGGCAGUAAGUGUACAGCAUCAUGGGUAUUUUAGGAAUGGUGGCUGGACUGCAUCUGUCUCUAGGAGGGAAGAGCUGGAGACUGCUUCCUGGAGCCGCCCAGCCUCGUCCUGAGCCUCUGCACUUCUCAGGGGAGACAGAGGGCAGCAUUCACUCCUAGGUUUUUGUUUCGUUGAGACAAGGUCUUCUGCACUUUAGGCUGUAUAGUGAAGGCUGAUUUCGAACCCCCAUCCCCAGCCUCUACAGGCCUGCCCCGCCCACCUGCUCUGCUUGUUCUUCUUUGGUGACAUGGCUACACACACACACACAAUGUAACCAUCACUAGCGACAUGGCUACACACACACACUCAAUGUAACAGUCACUAACUACCUCAAGUUCCAACAGUCCUGCCUCAGCUCAUGAUCUCAGCGCUGGGAUCCUGUGCUUAUCCUUACACCUUAGUGUUAGAAAGCUUUGGAGUACCACCGGGUACCAUCCCAUUCAACCCAAAGCUGGCCGAGCUCCCUGAGUUCGUGUGGACACUCACCAGGAAUAUUUCUUGGGCAUGGGUGUCCCCGAGGCCUUGCAGCAGAAGGUCACAUUCUGACCUGCCUCUCGAACUCGAGACUCAGGGUGCUUUACCAGGUACGGCUUCCCUGAGGGGGUCAGAGUUGGCCAAGCUCAUGACCCUGCUAUACCCCAGGAACCCCUUUUUCGGAUUCUCUCCGGGACAGCCCACCUCAUUCUGUGCUGUCAACAAGUGAGUCACAGCUUGUUUUUUUCCCCUUGGCCUGGAACAUCCUCCUCUGUAACUCACAUGUUCUUGGCUGCGGGGACACUCACCUAACUCUUCAAGGAUGAUGGUGACUGUGGCUGUGUUGGAGCUGUUGGCGUGAGCCUGCGCUGUGCCAGCAGAGAACCCAUUCAUCUGGGCGCUGACACUGGCCUUGCUGCCCGCGCAGACUCCGGGCACUUGGAAGGUUCCAUGGGUACCGCUGGUGGCUAUGGUUCCAGGUCGGGUUCUCAGGGAGACCCUGGCUCCUGACAGCGGUCGCCCAGAUGGGGUGACCACUGAACCCAGGAGGAUGUGGUUGGGGCACCCGCAGGUGUCGGAGCUACACCCUAGGGGGACAUGGAAGCGGCAGGCGCAGAGAGAACUCUUGGGGAGAGCUUUGCACUCAGCUACAAACAUAAGUGACCCUGCCACCCAUCAGUUCCCCACAAGCUUCAGUGUGGCUGGACUUAAGUCAGUCUGGAGACAGGGAUAAGUGGGCAGAGCUGGAGCAAUGUAAGGAAGGUGGGUCCAUAGAUGCAAGGGAGAAGCUCCAAGAGGGGACCAAAGAGGCUGAUUCUUAAGACAGUGAGGACUCAUCAGGCAGGUGUUCCUAGCUGGGGCUGGGAGCAAGGGGCUGUCUUGGACAACAUCUGUCACACUUCCAACGCUGCUGCUUCUCCACAAAGUGGAAAGUUCCAGUGGAAACUUCAGGGCAGAGGCACCGGGUGGGGUCCCCACCAUUGGCGACAUCGUGCCCCAACUAUAUGAGGGCCCUGUUGCAGCUGUCUGCAGAUCAUGUUUGUGGAGCCCAGGCCCAAGUGGAAUUUCCAGUCCCCUCCUGGCUGGCCUGCUGUCUGGCACAGGGAGGGCCUGGGCAUCGUGUCUGCGUGGGCGAGCAGAACAGGCAAAGACUGAAGGCUGAAUGUGGGCACCCAGAGUAUGCACCCAGAGUGAAGGCAGAAGCCUUCACAGGGAUAUCUUAGUGUGCACACUAGGUGAAAUAACUCUUCAGGUCUUCCCAUGCCUGCCCAGCAUCCACCGACCCCCUCUGUAUAGUCUUCUUCCCUAGAGUGUGUAUGGCCUCCACUUCAACUGGUCCAGUCCUCUGGACCCCUUCUUAUGUAAGCUCCACCCCUGGUCAUCCCCUCCUCAGGCCCCAUCCCUCCUACCUGGACAACGGGAUCUCACGCACUUCUGCGCCUCCUGGGGGCUCCCGGGACACGUGUCCCCAGAGGAGCUUUGACAGCUGCGGCGGCGCAGGCGACGACCUAGCCCGCAACUCUUGGAGCAGAGGCCCCACGCUCCCCAAGCGCCCCAAGCCGCCUCUGCAGAGCAAGGUGGGAGAUGAGUUGCAUCUGCCCACCUUGGUCAGCGGGCUUUCUAAACUAUGUGGGUCUUGUUCCCCCGGCAUACACCCUCCCUGACUGCAGGGGCAGACUGCAUGCAGUUCUGCACAGAGCUCACCUGCACACACACACACACACACACACACACACCCCUUCUUGCUAGAUGCGGUCCUAAUUAACCUUGCUGUUCCCCAUCGGACUUCAAUACAAUGAGGCUUAAGGCAUCCCCAACACCGAGCUGUUCAGGAUGGGCCAAUGGGAUCCUGGCAUGUUAGUGCACUAGCUACUACAAUCUGGGCACAGCUCCCUGCAUCCUCACUGUGCUGAUGGGUGUGCCUCUCUAAGCCACGCCCGUGCCCUGCCAUCACUGGGCCUUGCCCCUUAGGGUCGUACUGUACCCGCCCGCCCAGGCCUAUGGGUCCCCCCCUUACCCAGUGGGCAGCGGAAGCGCACGUGGUAGUUGGAGCAGCGGCGGCCUCGAGGCUGCUCACGAUUGAGACACCAAAAGCCACGCUCUGGGUUGGCGUGCACCCUUUCGCCCAUUGCAGCUGGUAGCGCCCAGUCGGUGGUGCGCGCCUCCAGUGCCAGUGGUCUCGGGCACACCCGCGCGGGACCAUAGUAGAAUCGAAUGGCGGCCAGGCUCUCGAAGUCGCCAUCUCCUCCCGGGUGAUCCACGUUGAACCACGACGUCCACUCGCUGGCCUCUGGGGAACAUUGACUACCACAUUUCACGGGAUAUAAAACUGAGGAUCUGAGAGGCCAGCUCUAGCCCCGGGGACUGCAGCAGCACCCACUCCAGGAAGCCUUCCCAUUACUAGCAGCGGACCCUGAAGCCCUGUCACUCCGCAGAUCUGGCGACUCUAUGUCCCACUACACCUCUAGGCUCAAAUGUUCAUCAAACACAAGUCGAGUGUAUUAGGCUCUGCCUCUACCCGCAGACCGCUGCAGUCUCUUCCUGGAAGUCCCCUCCUGCCAUAUACUCUCCCGGGUCUUUCUAGGUGGGACGCAAGGUGCCAACAGCCCCAGCCUUCUGAGAAAUAGGACUGUCACCAGCCCCGCGGAGAGACAGCUACGACCCCUUGGCACAGAUUUGGAAACCUGAUGAUUUACAAUUCAAAGCCUUGGCCAAGUGGACCUUCCUGGGACGACGAUGGAAGAGGUUUCUUUCACCGGCUCUCUGGGACGCUCAUGAGGUGCUCCCCCGCCCGCUUCUGUGCCUGCGGCUGUCGUCCUGGUGUGUUUGUUUGUGUGUGUGUGUGUGUGUGUGUGUGUGUGUGUGUGUGUGUGUAGGGGGUGGUUCCCAAGGUAUCUCACCUCGCGCUCCCGCUAGGUGUAAGGCGGCAAGGCAGAGAUAGAGCAAGGGCAGAGGUGAUGCCAUCGCCAGGUCCGAACUGCUCUGCGAAGCUCUGAGAUCUGACUGUGGCGGGCCUAGCCGCUGCUUGGACCUAAAAGGGCGGAACGGGCCACAAGCCACGCCCCCGCACACCAGACUGGGUCUUCUAAGCCUCCCGCGGUACCUCCGCCCUUAGACUGCCCUUGCCCGGUGUCCUGCGUUCCCCCCUCCUUCUCCAACUGGGUCCCGUGCUGUGUGCCUGGCUCCCUCUGGUCUGAAACUUGAAGCUGCUGGCGCCCUAGGAUGCUGGACGUUCUCUAUAUUGUUAAACUUCGGUCCUAAGUACUGGAGGCCACCCCCCAGCAGGGGUCUGCUCUCCAUUCUAAGAAACUCCACGGCGCAGCUCCUCCCCACAAACCCGGAGGGAAGUCUCCUCUCCACCCGCCCACCCCCUGGCCUGGUACACAAAAGAGGCAGGGGAGAGGUGGUGGAGAUGUUUAUUGGUGCGGUUCACAGUGAGGCCACGCAGUCGGUGCCAGUAUAUUUUGGCAGGUGCAGGCCAAACUUUCGGCGGACGUCAUCAGGCACGAACCUGCCGGCUACAAAGUGGAGACGUCCGGAGAAGCGGCCGGCGCAGCUCUUGGGCGCUGCAAGGGACACCAGCACAUCGGGCUGCACCGCGUCCUUUGCGUCUCCGCCAGCCUCCGCAUCCCAGCCUGAGGGCGGAAGAGGGGGAGCUGAGGACCUCCGGCCCGGGACCAAGUCUGCUCUGCCUCCCUCCACGCACGCGGGUAGCGGUCAGACCUGCUAACCGCAAACCGCCUCCACCCUCCGACUACACCAUUUCCACUGCUAGUCUGCCAAGACCCAGCCUCUGCCUUGAGCCGUGUCUCCUUCCGCAGAGGUUAGGAACCGCGCCUUGCUUAAAUCAGACCUUCCUCACCCACCUCGGGUCUGACCUCAGCCUCUCUACCCCACCCUGUACUGUGACCCGAGACCCCCCUCCUUCUAAACUGUGCCCCCACAUCCCUAUCGUAUUUGAUUUCCCCCUCCGACCUGAGACAUCUUGGUUCUCUGACCCACCUCGUGGUACUUUUGUUAGGACUCUGCCCUCUCCCCAAACCACCAGGAGUUUCGGUUCCACCCAGUCCACGAACCAGCAACCAGGACUUCUCUCCUGCCUCAGGCAC